rnacentral:rRNA from 1 species
UUAGUGGCGGACGGGUGAGUAACGCGUGGAAAACCUGCCGUAUACUGGGGGAUAACACUUAGAAAUAGGUGCUAAUACCGCAUAAGCGCACAGCUUCGCAUGAAGCGGUGUGAAAAACUCUGGUGGUAUACGAUGGUUCCGCGUCUGAUUAGCUAGUUGGUGGGGUAAUGGCCUACCAAGGCAACGAACAGUAGCCGGCCUGAGAGGGUGAACGGCCACAUUGGGACUGAGACACGGCCCAAACUCCUACGGGAGGCAGCAG